CGUUCGGAUCGGACAAGGGCCAUCUCCACCAGCAUGCGAGGGGCGGGACGCGGCAAGGCGAAUUCCAUUAGCCAGGCCGGCCAAGUCAAGCAAGCCAAAGGCGGGGKGUGCCGGGGAGGUAWGWGAAAAAAUUAGAGUGCUCCAGGCAGGCCUAUGCUCGAAUACAUUAGCAUGGAAUAAUAGAAUAGGACGUGUGGUUCUAUUUUGUUGGUUUCUAGGACCGCCGUAAUGAUUAAUAGGGACAGUCGGGGGCAUCAGUAUUCAAUUGUCAGAGGUGAAAUUCUUGGAUUUAUUGAAGACUAACUACUGCGAAAGCAUUUGCCAAGGAUGUUUUCAUUUAUCAGGAACGAAAGUUAGGGGAUCGAAGARGAUCAGAUAMCGUCGUAGUDUKMACAAAUAACU
rnacentral:ncRNA from 1 species